GAAGCUAAGCAGCUAAAAUAAAGGAAAUAAAUACAAUCACAGCAGUAAGUUGUACGUGGCCCAAUAGGGACGAUAACCAAAAAGAAAAAAAAAUACAUAUAGUCAAUCAAUUAUAUUUAACCUUAAUGCAUUCAUGGUAUUUUUUGUUUAUAUCACAUUUAUUUUGAGUUGAAUAAACAAUCAGUAAGUCACAAGUACUGAAAAUGUAUCCAUGAAAAAUUGCAGUAAAAAAAAAAAAUAUUUUCGUUAUGAAUAAUUAAUAAAAAUAGAAGUUUCUAAUAACAUAUCAGGAGCAUCGAUUUAUGAAAUUAAUUAUUUAUUUAUCUUUGUGUAAUUAAGAAAGAGCCAACCGGUACACUGUUAAACAAAAAAUAGAUUCUUUCAAAGAAGUAUUUAGUUGAUACUAUACAGCAGACUACAUUCCAAAAAGUAAUGUAAUUGACACUCAGCAGUCUUAAGACGUGAUUAGUAGUCACAACAGAAUCAAGAUGAGUGCAUAAGCCAAAGAAAGCCAGAGGAAAGAAGUAAUUAGAAACAGAACUGAUGUCAUAAAAAUGAAGAUCAAUUAAAAAUUACCUUACAUGUUGAAUUAUUAGUUAUGGCUCUAAUUAUUGAUCACUAUUUCUGCAAUGAUAACAUAAAUCGAAUACAGUCAUUGUUAUUCAGAAGUACGACUAAAGUGUGAAAUAAAUAGAUUGAGAUAUACUUCAUUCAUUAUUUAAAAAAUAUUUUUUAUUUAAUAUUAAUACAACGAGUAAUAAUUUUCAGCUGUUCUACUUUUAACCAGUCAGGAUAACAUGAGUCUUAUACUUACUGUAGAUAAGUAAAAGUAUUUUCUGCUGUUUUCUUGUUACAUAAAUUAAUAAUAUAAUUUUCUUAUUACAAAAUAUUAAAAAUUUUAACAUUAAGGAAUUAUAAUAACAAUAAUUUGUUUUUAAUUUUACUUUCAGAUCGAUUAGCAAAAAUGACAUGGAGUUGACUAUAAUUGCAACGAACAAUAACUGAGUAUUAAAACUCAAGAACAGUUUUCUAGGAUAUUCGAUAUUAUGUUAUUGUCAAAUUGUAAGAGAUAAAAUUAUAUUAUUUUUAUUGUCAAAAGGGAGCGAAUCCAUCUCGAAGAUGAUAUAUAUAUAUAUAUAUAUAUAUAUGGUUCAUUCUGUGUCAAAUCGACAAAUGAUUGGAAUCGACCCCCUCGGAUUCGGAUAAAUUUUGAUGGAGAGUUUUGUCUCAUAAUAAAACGAAGUUCUGCUAGGGGAAAUAAUUAAAAAAAAUUUUUUUAAGAGUUCAAUAAUAAUGUGGUACAAUAAUUAUAUUCAAUAAAAAAGUUGAAAGAAUUAUUUGGCCAAAAUUAAAAAAUUCAUAUUUAAAAAAAAAAAUAAACACCCUCCUGAAAAUUUCAGAAUUUCUUAAGAUAUGUUAGAGGUAUAAUAUAAAAAAUUUUGAGGCCAAAAUUUCACUGCGAACUUAACUUUUUACGAUUUUGAAAAAUUCAAAAUUUUCCGAUUGUGGUCAUUUUCAUAAUUUUUUUUCUUUAAAAUUUUUUUCUCAUACCUCCAAGUGUCCUCUUCCAACGCAUCGGCGGUUUUUUUUUAAUAUAUACAGUUGGUUAUGAAAUAUUAAAUAAAUAAACUCAAAAAACCAGAAAAACAGUGCAAUGUUCAAUUUUGCAAAACUCUUAAGAAAAAUUUUUUCAAAUCAUUUCCUCUGGCAGAACUUCGUUUUAUGAUGAGACAAAACUCUCCACCAAAAUUUAUUCAAAUCAGAGGGGGUCAAUUCCAACAACCAUUUGUUGAUUUGACAUGGAAUGACCAAUAUAUAAUUUUUUUCUUCUCGGAAACAGGUUCAAAAGUUUCAUUUGGGUAUAAUAAUACGCCUGUCAAAAUUCGAGCUCUUACUAUUAACAUUAAGAGGAGGUUCCGCAUUGCACUUUUCUAUUUUCCGUAUGAAUAAUAUGGGAAAUAGUAUAUUACACACCUAGGGAAGUAAAUAAGAAAGCCUCAGAUCACAUGUAAUUGUUGGCCGAGGCGAAGCCGAGGUCAAGAAACAUGUGAUCUGAGACAUUUCUUACUUUACUUCCCUAAGUGUGUAAUAUACUAUUCCCAUCUUCUGAUUUUCAUAACUUGAUAAUAGGGCUGUACAUCUAAACCAGCAUGACCGGUUAAAAAGUUAAGUAGCUUACUUAGCUGGCUAGCUCGUCAGCUUAGCUAAUUUAACCGGUCAACUUAAUUAGCUUGGCUAAGCAGCCAAAUGCUUCACCGGUUAAUGUAUUUCCAAUAGAUUUUCUAAGAUAACUCUUAGCUAAUAAGCCAUGGGAAUUUGAGUUAACCGGUGAAGCCUUUGGCUGCUUAACCAAGCUAAUGAAGUUAAUCUGUUAAAUUAGCUAAGCUGACGAGCGAGCCAGCUAAUUAGCCUACUUAACUUUUUUAAUCGGUUAUGCUGAUUUAGAUGUGCAGUCCUACUAGCUAACAAUUCGCCGUAGGAAAAAUCUGCAGACAUAAUUUUGUUGAGAAUUGAAUGCUCUACAAGAAACGUAAUCUAUCAUUUUUUUUUUAUAAAUCCAAUUAUUCGAAAGUUAUUUGAGCGUGAAGUCGAAUUUAAAUUAAAUUUUCAGAAUUUUGUCAUUUUUUUGGCGAAAGUAUCAGAUUUAUCACAAAAUAUCACGGCACAUUUUUUUUAGACAAUUCUAUGCCUUACAAAUUAAUUCCAAUAAAGUUUUUUCGAAUUCCGCAUUGUUUCCUAGUUAUUUUCGUUUUUAUGCCAAGCUUUUAAAAUCGAACAGAAGACUAUUUUUUUACGUGCUUGACAUUAAAAUAUAAAGAAGUAGAAAACAAUGCGGAAUCCGAAAAACUUCAUUAGAAAUAGUUCUUAGAGAAUAAAAUUGUCUACAAAGAAGGUUUCAUUAUAUUUUGUAAUAAGUCUGAUAGUUUCGCCGGAAAAGUUAAAACAUCUGAAAAUUUAAUAUAAAUUAGACUUCAAGCUUAAAUAACUUUAAAAGAAUGGAUGUAUCAAAAAGUGAUAAGAGACUUUUUUGGAGAGUGUUCAAUUCUAGCGUAUUUCACGCCAAAUCGAAUAAUUUAAGAAAUUAAAAUGUUAGACUUUGUGAAAUUUAUUUUAUGUUUUUGUAUCGUUAAAGGAAUGAUUUAAGUAAAUUUUUUUGAUAAUGUUGGGCAUU